rnacentral:rRNA from 1 species
GGAUUAGAUACCCUGGUAGUCCACGCCGUAAACGAUGGAUACUAGGUGUUCGGCCAAUUGAGGCUGAGUGCCCAAGGGAAACCAAUAAGUAUCCCACCUGGGGAGUACGUCCGCAAGGAUGAAACUCAAAGGAAUUGACGGGGGCCCGCACAAGCGGUGGAGCAUGUGGUUUAAUUCGAUGAUACGCGAGGAACCUUACCUGGGCUAGAAUGCCUCUGACAGGCCAUGAAAGUGGUUUUUCCUUCGGGACAGAGUGCAAGGUGCUGCAUGGUUGUCGUCAGCUCGUGUCG